rnacentral:rRNA from 1 species
CUACAAAUGAAUUGACGGGGGCCCGCACAAGCGGUGGAGCAUGUGGUUUAAUUCGAAGCAACGCGAAGAACCUUACCAGGUCUUGACAUCCCGAUGCUAUUUCUAGAGAUAGAAAGUUACUUCGGUACAUCGGUGACAGGUGGUGCAUGGUUGUCGUCAGCUCGUGUCGUGAGAUGUUGGGUUAAGUCCCGCAACGAGCGCAACCCUUAUCAUUAGUUGCUACGCAAGGGCACUCUAAUGAGACUGCCGGUGACAAACCGGAGGAAGGUGGGGAUGACGUCAAGUCCUCAUGGCCCUUAUGGGUAGGGCUUCACACGUCAUACAAUGGUCGGUACAGAGGGUUGCCAAGCCGCGAGGCGGAGCCAAUCCCACAAAGCCGAUCGUAGUCCGGAUUGUUCUCUGCAACUCGAGAGCAUGAAGUCGGAAUCGCUAGUAAUCGCAGGUCAGCAUACUGCGGUGAAUACGUUCCCGGGUCUU